GUGUAGGGCGGUUGCUGCCGCUCUGCGGGAUAAGGUGUGGUGCGGCCGCUCCGCCCGGACGGGAGGCGGAGAUUCAGUUGGAACGGCCAGUGUCCCGAGGCAGGGAAGCGGGGCCCCGUCCCACCGGUUGCUACCUGCUUGGAUCGGGCAGCGGAGGUCGGUGUGGGGCCGAGCGGGUCCCGGGGCCCUCAGGGCCGGUGAGGCGCAGUGGGAGCUGGGGCGGGCGGGGGAUGAGGGGAGAUGCGGGCAGUGCUUCCCCGCGGGGCCGCGGAUGGGGGGGCAGGGCCUAAAUAAUACAACUAGGAACAAAACUACUGUUAUUUUUUUUAUAAGUAUAAUGUAGAAAAAUAACGAAAUAAAGUUUUCCACGGGGACAGGUGCUGCCCCUCCCGUUUCCAAGCACUGCCCCUUCUCCCCCCACACCUGGGCCCCGGGGCCACAGGUGGGUGCGCUCCCCCUUCUCCAAUCACUCCGCCUAAUCUGGGGGUUAAAUGCUGCGUUUUCGUAGCUUGGGAGCGGAGCCACGGGGCUGAGCCUGCGGGCCUGCAAAGCUGCUAAGGCGGCGCGCUCAGGGCUGUUCGCGCGGCGCCGCUCUAGCGCUGCUCUUGGGGACGGGAAGCGACCUAACAACGCAUGGGAUUGGCUGCGAGGGGGAGGCGGGGCAAGGCGCUAUUCAGAACGAGCCAAUAGAGGCACUACUGGGAUAGCGAUGACAGUGAUUGAUGCACGACCUCGUCAGCAGCCCCCAUCGCUGCACUGAGAGACAGGAGCAGCUUGCGGCAAGAAAGAGGUGCAGCUCGAGGCAGAACAGAGGUUCUAGAGCUGAAGCUGAGGUAUCACAGAGCUGAAAUCAUCAUAAGGCUGAAGAUGAAGGGUUCAAAAUGCAUUUAGCAGCCUGCACAUCACCAACGUCCCGAUGUCAGCCACCAACAACACAGGGAGGGGGAAAAUACAGGAGCUGAAUGAAAGUGUCUCCAGCUCCAAGGGUCUGCACUAAAAGUGACAACCAUGUCUCGGAUAGGGCACUUGGCCAUGGGAGAGGAAAAAGGGUCUUCAGACAUGGCCUCUGCUUUAUGACACAAUUUAGAUGCACAGUAUGAUGUUUCUUAAAGUAAAUAACUGAAAAUAUUCAUUAAGUGGAAGUUUACUGAAUUGCCUCACCAUGGAACUUUUUUCCUGCCUGUGACCUUCUCAAAGGGGCAAUGUAAACAGUAAAAAAAUUACUUUUUUUAAAAAAAGGAAGUGCUGAGCUAAGAUCACAAUCUUAUGACUCUUUUCGUACACUUACAUUUACACUAUUUGUCUCAUCCCUUCUAUUUAACACCUCUGUGCACACAUGCAUGCAUAUGCCUGCAUGUACAUGUGGGUAUAUAAAGAUAUAGGCUGUAAUCACACAAACUCUGUAGGCUCCAUGUUAUUGUGACUUACCACCAAUUUUGCACGCUGAUGGCUAUAUCUAUGCAACACUUCUCUGUUUUUCGGUUUCAGUGUUUGAUGGCAUCUGAAACAGAAAGUCAAUUUAAAAAUGAGCUUACAAAGUGUUAAAAAGACAAUGUCUUUUUUUUUUUUUAAAAAAAUGACACUCUGUAUGCCUCCUACUGAAAAAUAUUAGUAUUAAAUAAAAAGAAAUAACCCAUCAUUAUCUUCUAAAAUGAAGAUGUGACUAUCAUCUACUGCACAGCUUUUAUAGUCAAGCAGAGGCAGGGCUGUUGCUGUUAGUGUGCAGUCAGCGCUUUGCAGUGCUGUGGAGAGUUACUUGUUUUAAACCAGGACCUGACAGGUAUAGACUGUGCAGAACGAUACAGUACGAUGGGCAGAUAAAAGAAGAGAGAGGCCCCUUGAGAGCUUCAAUGUUGUCAAAUAUAGUUGCUUUUUCUUGAUUCUCUGGAAGAAAGGAACUACCUGAAGAUUCUGGUAGGAGUUAUUGUUUUUAAAUGCGCAAAGUCCAUUUUCAAGCUCCAUCACUUAAUGGAAACACAGACCAUGAGACCCAAGUGCACCCAACAGGUUUCAAAAUAAGAUGCAAAGAGACAGGAAUCCAAAAUGUGUGUCCCACUCCCUUUUUUCUUACAGCCUUUUCAAUUGAGGUGAACACAGCCUGAGUCCAGACCGCAUCUGCUGGCACUAAGACACAGUCUAACGGUGUGCUGACUACUCAGCCCGCUUACUUUGAGACUGACAGUCUUGCUGUCAAACUCUUAGUUGGAACUACAGCCCACAUCUCUGCUCCAUGAUCACCACUGUGCCGCCACCCCCAGGCCCCAGUCACCUUACAUCAAUUCCUGUUUUUUUUUCAGGGGUGAGAAAAGCAAGCUGGGGAGAGGAUUACAAAUUUCUUGAAAUGGUCAUCGGUAUUGCUGGGAAAUUUGCUUUUCAUUAAAUGAUUGGCUAAGUACUCUAUCAUUCAAGACUCUCAUUAAUCAGGGGUGAUUCAGCAAAGGCAAAAAAUAACACAUUUAGAUAACACCUACCUGGAGCAGGAUUACCCAUCUCAUUGAGUGUCCCUGGAUGGCCAGCAGCUUUUACACACCUUCCUUUGGGCUCUGGAAGUGUAUUCCCAAACGACAGGGAGCUGCCUUCUGUAAGUGCUUCAGUCCGUGCUGUGAGGCUGCACAGGGCCCAGCUGGUCCCAGGAGGUCACUGGACACCAUUCGUGCCCUCUCGAUGUCACAGGCCCCACUGAGGUCUCCAUUAGGCCUGAUGAACAAGAGGCCUGCUUUGGGUAUGCAGUGUCAACAGAUGAAAAUGGAUCUUAAUUCUUGUAGACUCCCACAUUGCUCCCUUCCAUCAAAGUCACAGCCUAACUAACUUUUAGAUCAUUAAGCCAUAUUUUAGAGAUGAAAUAAGAUUAAAGUGAAAGACAUUAGUUUCACUAGUGGUCCUCAUCUAUUCUUACCACAUCUGGAAAGGUGUCUUUUUGAUGCUUUUUAGCUAUAGCAUCAUGAAGACAUAAAAAAAACAAAACCAAGAAAAUCCUAAUGUGCAGCAAGUAUCUGCACGAAUACUAAGACACUUCUAGAAAUUAUAUGACAGCCUCUUGCCUUCCUAAAUUGGAAGUCACCUCCUUCCUAAGCAGUUCAAUGAAGUAGAUGGUGUCAGUCUGGGACAAGGGCUCACAACUGCAUCACACUGUUGGUUGUCUAUCAAGGUCUCUUCUGGUCAUUCCCAGUGUCCAAAAGCAAAAAGUAUAGACAUUCAGUAAACAUUUUCUUUUAAUCAUCCUGUAGAAUCAACAGCCUGUUUAAGCAGUGAUGGCUGCAAUUGUAUUUAAAGACACAAAACACGUCUAAAUAAAAGGUGUUUUUACCUUUUUGUUUUUAAUACAUUAUUAAGUGUAAAACUAGAAGAGAAGCAUAAACAGGACAGUAGUGAAACAGUAUGUAACACAAAUUAUCUGAGAGUUCCUGUGUGGGGAAAGGGCUAUGAUAUUUACCAAGAAGCCAACUUGAUUGCACCUGCAUCCUUGCUCCUUGUGUGCACACAUGCACCUGAGCACACACAAACCUGCAAGGCUGUCUUUUGAUGUAACAAAGAAGUCCCACCUUAGGUGACGUUAAAAGGUUUUCUUUCUGAACAUGAUGUGAGACUAGGAGAAGGGGAAUGGAGAAGACUCCUCUAGGGUCUUUAUAUACAUUCAAAGGUCAGUAAUUCCUCGGUUUAGAACUGUUGUAUCACUUCCCAUUGUUCUGGAAUCUGAAAUGAGUCCCAAACGUGCCCUAAAGCAUCAGGUGGGCACUUCAGAUGCUUCAAAGCAACUCAAGAAAGCACUGACAGUAGUCCAAGUAUUAUGACAGCCUGUCACAAAAUUGGCACCCACACAUACAGAAACUAUAAACUCUUUUUCCUCCCUUACAGUUUUUUUACAGAUUUUACCAGAAGUCAUAUAAUCAUUCCUAAUAUAACUACUGAAAACAAGUGAUAACCAUUUGUGGCAAAGCCAGUUUAUUAGGUUUCUGGGAUUGUGGCUUGCCCUCCCCCCAACACAUACAAAAUAACCCAACUUGACAAUUUGGUAAAGUGAAAAUACAUAUACAAAGUAUUCAGUACUUUUGACACCAGUUUUGUAGGCAGAACAUCACGACUGAAAGCCAGGAAGCAUACUGAAUCCUGCACUAAUGACCACAUCACUUUUAUGCCAGAACCAUUACAACAUGCUUUGUGCUGAAGACAAAAUUACAUACUUAAACAUAGUUUCUGCACAAUUUUAAUGACAUGAGGGCCCUUAUUUACAGGUUGCGAAUAACUCAAACCUUAACAGAUUUUCAGAUGUUUGAUAUCAAAUUUAACAGUAAUAUUGUAGCUACAUAAUGUCCUUACCUCAACCCCCAACCUGACUGACUUUAGAGUUCUUCAUUCUUUUUAUUAAAAAAAAACAAAACUAACCACAAACCAAAACAAUAGAACAUUUGCUGACAUACACAUAAUUAAGAGGGAUCCUUUUGAGAAAACGGAUUAAGGACAUGAGUGAAAAACAAAUCGUCCAAGAGGACUGUAAACCAUAUUUAUUUACAAAAGUAUACACAUAAAUUUGAGAUUCUUAAAAGAAAAAAAUCUUUUAAGAUUAAUCCAUUUCUUAAAAAAACAUUAAG